rnacentral:rRNA from 1 species
AUGAAAGCCUUGUUUUGGAACAUAAGAGGUUUCGGUGCUAGGGGGCGCCGUGACCAAAUUAAAGACUUGAUUCGUGGAAACAAUAUUGACUUGGUUGGGCUGGUUGAAACCUUUAAAGAAGCCUUCUCCCCUAACGAACUCUCUGCUAUCGCGGGCAUGGAUAGAUUUGAUUGGCAUGUGUUACCUGCUUCGGGCCAUUCGGGAGGGAUCCUGAUUGGCAAAAAAGAUAUUUUCGACUUCGUGGCCUUUGAUCAUGGUGUUUUCUGGGAAAGUAUGGUAGUCUGUCACAAAGCCCUUAAUAUUUUGUGGGAAGUCAUUGUGGUUUAUGGUCCGGCUGAUCAUUCGCUUUCCUCCUUAUUCUUGGAGGAGCUCUUUGCUAAGAUUGAGGCGUGUAAUUUACCGAUAGUUAUCGGAGGGGACUUCAACCUCCUU